rnacentral:rRNA from 1 species
UUCUAUUAGAAAUAAUUAAUAGUAAAAUUCUGCUCAAUGACUAUUAAAUAGCCGCAAUCGUGCUAAGGUAGCAUAAUAAUUUGUUUUUUAAUUAAAGACUAGAACAAAAGAUUUAACAUUUUAAUAAAUAUAAAGAUUUAUUUACUUAAAUUAUCUUAAUUGUAAAAAGACAAUUAUAUAAAAAAGAGACGACAAGUCCCUAUUAAACUUUACUUUAGUUUAACUGGGGUAGUUAAAUAAUUAUGAUUUUAAUUACAUUUAACUAAAAUGUGACCUAAUAUAAUUAAUUAAAAAAUCAAGUUACUAUAGGGAUAACAGCGUAAUAGUUUUUUAAAGUUCUCAUAUAAAAAACAGAUUGCAACCUCGAUGUUGACUAAUUAUUUUACUCACGCAAUAGUUGAUUGAAAAGGUCUGUUCGACCUUUAAAUAAUUACA